GAGCGCAGCCCUGUUGGAAAGGAUCUGUUGGUACUCGUGGAUGGUGAGCUCACAGGAGAGUCAUAGACCUGUUGGUGCACAUCCAGCGUAGGGCUGCAGAAAUUUUCCAUGCACCGGAACUCUUCUCCUACGUGGACAGGCAGAGAACUGGGGCCGUGCAGCCUGGAGAAGAGAAGGCUUGAAGACCCUCGGCUGCUUGCUGGACAAGCUGUGUUACUUCACUUUGCCAUGUGGGGAGAGUCCGGUGGCAGUCUGCGAUGGCAGCUUCACCAUUCCAAGCAAAACAGUUGGUGUUUCUCAUCCUGGAAGAGUCUUGCAGAGCGGACUCUCAUCUUCAGCCCUUGCCGGCUCGGCUGGAGCUGGGCUCAGCUGUUCCCGUGUUCCCGUGACGGAGCCCUCGAGCUCUGUGCUGACUGCGCUGCUGAGCUGCAGCGCUCCUCUGACAGCUCUGUCCAUCCCAGGAGCACAGCCAUCCCAGCGCCGCGCUGUCCUUCAGUCGGGGACGUCCCUGCAGCGCUCAGCAG